AGAGAUGAAAUCAAUCACUGAUUAUAUAUAAUCAGUGAUUGAUUUCAUCUCUUGU
ensembl:miRNA gmo-mir-11255 gmo-mir-11255